rnacentral:rRNA from 1 species
CCUACGGGUGGCAGCAGUGGGGAAUAUUGGACAAUGGGGGGAACCCUGAUCCAGCCAUGCCGCGUGUGUGAAGAAGGCCCUCGGGUUGUAAAGCACUUUCAGUGAGGAAGAACGCCUGGUGGUUAAUACCCAUCAGGAAAGACAUCACUCACAGAAGAAGCACCGGCUAACUCCGUGCCAGCAGCCGCGGUAAUACGGAGGGUGCGAGCGUUAAUCGGAAUUACUGGGCGUAAAGCGCGCGUAGGUGGCUUGAUAAGCCGGUUGUGAAAGCCCCGGGCUCAACCUGGGAACGGCAUCCGGAACUGUCAAGCUAGAGUGCAGGAGAGGAAGGUAGAAUUCCCGGUGUAGCGGUGAAAUGCGUAGAGAUCGGGAGGAAUACCAGUGGCGAAGGCGGCCUUCUGGACUGACACUGACACUGAGGUGCGAAAGUGUGGGUAGCAAACAGGAUUAGAUACCCCUGUAGUC